GCUUCUGUGGCCUAAUGGAUAAGGCGUCGGUCUCCUAAACCGAAAAUUGUGGGUUCGAGUCCCACCAGGGGUA
rnacentral:tRNA from 1 species